rnacentral:rRNA from 1 species
ACUCCUACGGGAGGCAGCAGUGAGGAAUAUUGGUCAAUGGACGCAAGUCUGAACCAGCCAUGCCGCGUGAAGGAUGAAGGCCUUCUGGGUUGUAAACUUCUUUUAUCAGGGAAGAAAAUUAACGGUUUCUACUGUAACCGACGGUACCUGAGGAAUAAGCACCGGCUAACUCCGUGCCAGCAGCCGCGGUAAUACGGAGGGGUGCAAGCGUUAUCCGGAUUCACUGGGUUUAAAGGGGUGUGUAGGCGGGGCUAUUAAGUCAGUGGUGAAAUCUCCGGGGCUCAACCCGGAAACUGCCAUUGAUACUAUUAGUCUUGAAUUUUGUUGAGGUAGGCGGAAUAUAUCAUGUAGCGGUGAAAUGCAUAGAUAUGAUAUAGAACACCGAUUGCGAAGGCAGCUUACUAAGCAAAUAUUGACGCUGAGGCACGAAAGCGUGGGGAUCAAACAGGAUUAGAUACCCUGGUAGCACAGAG